AGACCUAAGGACCACCAGGCCCAUCAUUUGAUUUGCACUCAAAUAUUCAUUAAGUC
rnacentral:tRNA from 1 species